rnacentral:rRNA from 1 species
AGCGCCCUACGGGGGGCAGCAGUGGGGAAUAUUGCACAAUGGGGGAAACCCUGAUGCAGCAACGCCGCGUGAGUGAAGAAGGUUUUCGGAUUGUAAAGCUCUGUUAGCAGGGAAGAGGAAGGACGGUACCUGCAGAGGAAGCCACGGCUAACUCCGUGCCAGCAGCCGCGGUAAUACGGAGGAUGCGAGCGUUAUCCGGAUUUAUUGGGUUUAAAGGGUGCGUAGGCGGGCUUUUAAGUCAGCGGUAAAAAUUCGGGGCUCAACCCCGUCCGGCCGUUGAAACUGGGGGCCUUGAGUGGGCGAGA